rnacentral:piRNA from 1 species
UCUAAACUGUUUCACAACCUU